CCGCACCCGCGGCGUGGGGCGAGGGGCGCGGAAGGCCCGGUGACGGGUAGCGGAGCCCGGGUGCUGUCCCAGUUUCCUGUUUAAAGCCUCACGACGGCCCACGCACGAGAAAAAAUAAAACAUGGGCCCAUUUUGCUCACGAAAUCUAAGUCGAGGAGAAAUGUAAAGCAUAACUGAAAAGCGUGCGGUGUGGAAAGCGGAGUGCUGAAAGACAACGACUAGCGCGCGUUCCAGACCAAGAGCAACUUCAACAGGACAACGAGGAGGAACCACGCGCAAGCACUUACAAAUGCGCCGCGGUUUCUAUCCCAGAGCCGCCAACGGGAGGCCGCCCGGGGCCACCAACCUGCUCUGGUCCAGGGAGGUCCGUGCCUCGCCCUUCGGACCGGACAUCAAACUUCCACAUUUUAACUUUUAAAUACAGCAGGAAGUAUCUCCCAUGUAUUAUGCUCCUAAACCAUCACAUUCUUAAGCCACGUAUGACUGGAAGUAGUGAGGGCCACCAUCAAAUUGAUUCCACCCAGAACAAGAUCCCGAAGAAAAGAUCCACUGAGUGCAAAGUUCACACCCCUAGAAUUUGGGGAAACAGCCUAUUGGUUUCUCUCACAACAAAUGAUCUGUUAAAAAAGUUACAAGGGUAUCAAUACAAGUAAAAUUCUAUCUAAAACCCACUGAAUAAAAUGAGAAUCCGUGAGUCCAGCCUCAUGUGAAUGAAUGAAGAAAGGAAGGAAUGAACAAGUAAAUAAAAAGGAAAGCUCUUCCUUAAAGGAGAUCCCAACUAAUCAGUAAAAAAGAAAUGUUGGAAUUAGAAAAGCGCCAUUUGGCAAUCAUCACAGUAAUGAUUAAUUCAGGCAAGAAUCAUAAAUGGAUGCUAAAAGUAGGUAAAAGUUUGAGGAGUAACAAAACACAUAGCCUCAGAAUAUCUCCCCAUAAAAUAUUUAUUAAUUACAAAAGAAAAAAAACAACACUUUUGUAAUAAGACAUACCAACAUCAUAUGUCUCCUGAUACGAUGCACAGAAAACAGAGCAUCACUUCUGGUAGAUUUCUGCCCAAAAUGCAUACGUCGAAUCUAAUCAUGAUGAAACCAUAAGAGAAGCUCAAACUCUGGGACAUUCUACAAAAUAACCAACCAGUUCUCAAAACUGAAAGGUUAUAAAAGACAAAGACUAAGGUACCAGCCAAACACAUAAGACAUAACAACUGAAUGUGGAAACGUUUUCUUUUCCUACAAAGACAUGAUUGGAACAAUUGACAGAACCUGAUUCCUGAGAGAAGAGGAAUGUAAUUGGCUCAUCUGUUUCUAUGACAACCAAUUCUACAGCCAUCCCACACCUUUAAUUACUUCAUUCAAAACCUAUGCACUGCUAUUAACCACUCAGCUUCUC
rnacentral:lncRNA from 10 species